rnacentral:rRNA from 1 species
UCCGAAUGGGGAAACCCACUAUCCGUAAUGGGAUAGUACUCCUGCCUGAAUCCAUAGGGCAGUGAGAGGCAUACCAGGGGAACUGAAACAUCUAAGUACCCUGAGGAAAAGAAAACAAUCAGUGAUUCCGUAAGUAGCGGCGAGCGAACGCGGAGAAGCCCAAACCAGAAGGUUCGCCUUCUGGGGUUGUAGGGCGUCUCACAUGGAGUUACAAAAGACGGUCAUAGACGAAGCGGUCUGGAAAGGCCCAUCAGAGAAGGUAACAAUCCUGUAGUUGAAAUGACCGUCUCUCCGAGACGUACCCUGAGUAGGGCGGGACACGUGAAACCCCGUCUGAAUCCGGGAGGACCAUCUCCCAAGGCUAAAUACUACCUGGCGACCGAUAGUGAACCAGUACCGUGAGGGAAAGGUGAAAAGCACCCCGGGAGGGGAGUGAAAGAGAUCCUGAAACCGUGUGCCUACAAUUAGUCGGAGCACAAUCAAUGUGUGACGGCGUGCCUUUUGUAGAAUGAACCGGCGAGUUACGGUUGCGUGCAAGGUUAAGUCUGAGAAGACGGAGCCGCAGCGAAAGCGAGUCUGAAUAGGGCGAAUGAGUACGUAGCCGUAGACCCGAAACCGUGUGAUCUACCCAUGUCCAGGGUGAAGGUGCGGUAACACGCACUGGAGGCCCGAACCCACGUACGUUGAAAAGUGCGGGGAUGAGGUGUGGGUAGCGGAGAAAUUCCAAUCGAACUCGGAGAUAGCUGGUUCUCCCCGAAAUAGCUUUAGGGCUAGCCUCGGAUUCCUGUACCGGAGGUAGAGCACUGAUUGGAUGCGGGCCCCUCGCGGGGUACCAAAUUCAGUCAAACUCCGAAUGCCGGAUACAGCAGGUCCGGGAGUCAGACUGCGAGUGCUAAGAUCCGUAGUCAAAAGGGAAACAGCCCAGAUCACCAGCUAAGGUCCCUAAAUGUACGCUAAGUGGGAAACGAUGUGGAGUUGCCCAGACAACCAGGAUGUUGGCUUAGAAGCAGCCACCAUUUAAAGAGUGCGUAAUAGCUCACUGGUCGAGUGACUCUGCGCGGAAAAUGUAACGGGGCUAAGCGUACUACCGAAGCU